UACGUAGGGCGCGAGCGUUGUCCGGAUUUAUUGGGCGUAAAGAGCUCGUAGGCGGCUUGUCGCGUCGACCGUGAAAACUUGGGGCUCAACCCCAAGCCUGCGGUCGAUACGGGCAGGCUAGAGUUCGGUAGGGGAGACUGGAAUUCCUGGUGUAGCGGUGAAAUGCGCAGAUAUCAGGAGGAACACCGAUGGCGAAGGCAGGUCUCUGGGCAUUAACUGACGCUGAGGAGCGAAAGCAUGGGGAGCGAACAGG
rnacentral:rRNA from 1 species